rnacentral:lncRNA from 1 species
CCCCACCGGGAAAAAAUUAAAAAUAAAUUAAAAUUAAAAAGGCACCCCCCCCGCCCCCACCCCCCCUUGCACACAGGCACACUCACACACGCACACACACACCUCGGCACCUGGGGGGUGGGGGGAAAUAAAAGGCAAAGAUGAGGAUCAGCUGAGUGACGGGGAGCACAGGACCUGCAGGCGAGGACCGGGGAGUUGUGUUAGAUCCGUGGCUGCAAGGACUGAGCGUGUGCAGGAACGAGAUGGUUUGAAAGGAGAAUACAUGGUAAGAAAUUGUGGCUGCUCAGGCUGGAGUCUGAAGCUCCGGUGUCCAAAAAAAAAAAAAAAAAAACCCAAAAAAACCCACAAAUAGGACCUCUUCCUUCGCGGGAGGGCUCGGGGGGCUGUGUGUGGCUGUGUGAGUGUGUUUUCCAGGCGGGUGGUGUUAAGAAGUGACAGAAGCUUCCUUCCCAAAAGCCCGGAGGGUCAGCACGAUGGUGGGGUGCUGGGAGGCGAUGGAAGUGCGGGUGGGGGCAAGUUCGGUGGCUCCGCGGUGGGGAGGCGAGGAGGAAGGGCCGCUCUGUGCUGUCGGUCUGUCUGUCUGUCUCUAUCUGUGUCUUACGGUACCGUUCACCGGCAGCUCACGGAGCGGCUGCACAGCGAGGGAGAGAAUCACCGUACAGGCAUAGAGGGAGAGAGAAACGCCGUCCUUACAGUGACACCAAAUGUCUUUAGGGGAAAUCUACAAUUAGAGGUGCAUAAGGUGCCUGAAGAGCAUGAGAAUGGCAAGUCGUGAGGGCCAGAAGACUGAGAAGAAGGCUUUCUCAGGACACAGAUGAGGAAGGAAUACACCAAGACAAACCCUCAGCUGUUGCAGAAGGCAGGUAGGCAGAGAAAGAGGAUCCAAAGAUAAAGACGAGGUCACAAGUCUUUAUUUGCUCAAGUCUCAUUUGCUGGGAAUGCAUGAGAAGUUGGAGGAGAAUGACUUUCCUCCAGUCCCAGUGACACAGGCUUCCUGAUCUUCUAGCUGCAGGAAGUAAAAGCUGAGGGCAGCAUGGCAGAAUCCUAAUAAAACAUUUUUGUGCACUUUUCUGUACCUUGGC